rnacentral:rRNA from 1 species
UACAGAGGUGGCAAGCGUUGUUCGGAAUUACUGGGCGUAAAGAGCUCGUAGGCGGUUCGGUAAGUCAGCUGUGAAAUCUCCACGCUCAACGUGGAGGGGUCAGCUGAUACUGCCGUGACUUGAGUCUGGUAGGGGAGUGCGGAAUUCCCGGUGUAGCGGUGAAAUGCGCAGAUAUCGGGAGGAACACCAGUGGCGAAGGCGGCACUCUGGGCCAGUACUGACGCUGAGGAGCGAAAGCGUGGGGAGCGAACAGG